rnacentral:rRNA from 1 species
AACGAACGCUGGCGGCAGGCCUAACACAUGCAAGUCGAGCGGGACCUUCGGGUCUAGCGGCGGACGGGUUAGUAACACGUGGGAACGUACCUUUUGCUACGGAAUAGCCUCGGGAAACUGGGAGUAAUACCGUAUGAGCCCUUAGGGGGAAAGAUUUAUCGGCAAGAGAUCGGCCCGCGUCUGAUUAGGUAGUUGGUGGGGUAAUGGCCUACCAAGCCUACGAUCAGUAGCUGGUUUGAGAGGAUGAUCAGCAACACUGGGACUGAGACACGGCCCAGACUCCUACGGGAGGCAGCAGUGGGGAAUCUUAGACAAUGGGCGCAAGCCUGAUCUAGCCAUGCCGCGUGAGUGAUGAAGGCCUUAGGGUCGUAAAGCUCUUUCGCCGGGGAAGAUAAUGACGGUACCCGGUAAAGAAACCCCGGCUAACUGCGUGCCAGCCGCCGCCGUAAUAC